AAUGCGGUCCUACAAUGCAGUCGAACGAACUCUGGUAUUGAUUGCUGCUUGCAUCAAGAUUUGCAUUUGAGUGGAUGAAUGACUGGUGACUGCCCGUGGGAAACCUGUAAAUAAGCGGGGGAUAACACCUGGAAACAUAUGCUCAUACCACCUAACAACUUGAACCUCAGGGCCCUAGCUUGAAAAAUGGCUUCGGCUAUCACUUUUGGAUGGUCCCGCAGCGUAUUACCUAGAUGGCGAUCCCACGGCUCACCAUGACAAUGAUACGUAACCGACCUGAGAGGGUAAUCGGCCACAUUGGGACUGAGGCACGGCCCAAACUCCUACGGGAUCAGCACUAGGGAAUCUUCCACAAUGGACGAGAGUCUGAUGGAGCAACGCCGCGUGAGUGAAGAAGGGUUUCGGCUCGUAAAACUCUGUUGUUAACCAAGAACAUAUCUGAUACUAACUGAUCAAGUAUUGACUGUAUUUAACCCAAAAGCCACGGCUAACUACAUGCCGCCAGCCGCGGUAAUACUUACGUGGCAAACGUUGUCCGGAUUUAUUGUGCGUAAAGCGAGCGCAAGCGGUUUUUUACAUCUGAUGUGAAAGCCUUCAGCUCAACCGAAUAAAUGCAUCGAAAACUGGGAAACUUGACUGCAGAAGAGGACAGUGGAACUCCAUGUGUAACGAUGAAAUGCGUAGAUAUAUGGAACAUCACCAAUGACUGACGCUGCUGUCUGGUCUGUAGCUGACGCUGAGGCUCUAAAGUAUGUGUAACACACAGGAUUAGAUACUCUGGUAGUCCAUACCGUACACUAUGAAUGCUAAUUGUUGAACGGUUUCCGCCCUUCAAUGCUGCGGCUAACACAUUAAGCAUUCCGCCAGGCGAGUACGGUCGCAGGGCUGAAACUCAAAGGAAUUGACUGGGGCCCACAUCAGCGGUGGAGCAUGAGCUUUACUUCGAAUCUACGCCACAACCUUAUCAGACAUGACAUACUAUGCUCAUCUACUAGAUUACACGUGCCCUUUCGGGGUGCAUGGCAUACUC
rnacentral:rRNA from 2 species